rnacentral:rRNA from 1 species
AUGGAGGAGAUUCAGACCUUGUUGAUCAACGUUCUUCCCCUUCAUCAUCCUCAAGGCGACGACGAGCAAGUCAAUCAUCUUCGGUGCGCCCCCUACCUAAUCACGCCCUCAGCCUCACCGCGAUCUCAAAGCCUAGCUCGACGAACUCGCAACACAAGAGAUAUGAGAUUUAUACUGGUUCAGGCCACCGUUGUGGUGUGGUGGAUUGCCUCUUGGGCUGAGGAUGAACAGUACAAGGGGAAGAACAGCCUCCUGAGACGAGGUGUUCUUGUGCUUGGUGGGUGUGAGGAUGAUCUGAAUCUGUUCAAGAUGAGUUGA